rnacentral:rRNA from 1 species
UGGUGGAGUGAUUUGUCUGGUUAAUUCCGUUAACGAACGAGACCUUAACCGGCUAAAUAGUCACACGAUUCUCGAAUUGUGACUGACUUCUUAGAGGGACUGUUGAUGUUUAAUCAAAGUCAGGAAGGCAAUAACA